UAGAGGGACCCAGGCUGGAGAGUUAGUUCGGGUCUGAGGUGUUGUGAGCCGGGAGCGCGAGGAAACCAAAGGCAGGGGCUGGCUGAGGCUGCAGCUCACUGCUGAUUUACCCCAGGACCCCGCUCCGGAGGGGUCGUAGCCAGUUUAGCACAAGUCCAUCAUCCGCUAGUCCCGAAAGCGCUGGGCAGUGGGGUCAGGGGCAGUGGGAGGAAAUCCACCCGGCUGACGCCCUGCGGGUUCUCCGGUUCCCGGGCGCUCGGCGGCGGACGUGGCCCUCAGAGCAGGCCACCGGGCGUUGGGGGUCCAGGCUGACUCCCAGAGCGACCGGGAUCGCCAAGUCACGCCCCACGUGGCCUGGAGGCUUUUUCCUGGUCCUCCCAAUCCUUCAGCCAAAGGCUCUCAUUAUGUGGAGAAUGGAAGUCACUAUUUGGGGGAACUGACUGUCCCCAGGGCACGUCCCAGAAGGGAGCAAAUCCCUCCGAGGAGGCGCAGGAGAUUCACAGGCAGUCUCUAUGCGUGCACCUCCAUUCAGGAUGUGCCAGGACGGCAGACCACAGGCAGCGCCAGAAAUGGCUCGCGAUGCUGGCAGGACAAACAGCCGGGCACCUGGGCGUGGCGACACCGGAGGGACACUGGUUGUACACGCGUGCUGCAGAGUUGGUGACCAUGGGCAGUGCAGCCGCUGGGUUUGGCCUGUGAGGCCAUCCUCAAGGUUCUCUGGAGGCCAGCAAGGAGCUUUCACAGCUGAGAGGCCCCAGACGCAGCUGCAUCCUGGAAUUGUUCUGAGAAAUCUGGGACCUGCCCCACCUCCACCCAGGCAGGGGGCACCAGCCAGCUCCAGAGCUGCCCACCUUCCCUCACAGGCGCACAGGUCAGUGCCAGGCCAACCCCAGAGCGAGAACACCUGUGCUGGACUGUGCUGAAGCAGCGAGGUGGCCUGCACAGGUGAGGUUGCCAGGAACAGUCAGUGCAGCUGUGCCCAGUCCUGGGCAGGGCAGCCAUGGGAGGGCCCUGACUGCGGAGGGGUGUCCAGAGAGCCUGCCCCACUAUGGAGAAGCCUGCGCGGAAGAAGGUGGCAGAAGGGAGGCGGGGCUGGUCUUGGCGGCCACUGUCUGGCCAGUUCGGAUCCUAGUCAUGCCUUGGCUCCACCUAGGUUGCAGGCAAAGAACCUGUUCAGAGAUUCUGCUGGGCAUCAGGCCACUGUUUCCAGCAGCCAGAUAGCUUCCUGGGGCCUCAGGACUCUGGGCUGCCCUCUGGCCCCGGGGAAGGUUGCCAGGCCAUGGGCAAGGAGAAAAGCAGAAGGGGGAUGGGAGGGGGAGGAGAGUCUCAGCCAGUGUCCCGCUCGGAUGCACAGCACUGUUGUUCAGUCACCAGCUGGCUGGGAGGACGGCUUCCACUGCAGGAUGGACCCCAGGGAGGAGGAUGGAGCUUCAUGUCAGACAUCCCUCACACCACAAAGUUGGAAACUGCUCACCCAGAAAUGGGGGUAUAUGGCACUUUGGGAGGCCAAGGCGGGAGGAUUGCCUGAGGCCAGGAGUUUGACGAGACCAUCCUGGACAAUAGUGGGCAGCAAGGGAGGUGUCGGACGGAGCCACCCCACGGUUCCCCUGUGAAAGUCUGCACGUCACUCAGAAAGUUGAAGCAAACGAAGCAGGGCUGGAGCUCACAGUUCACAGCUGGCCAGGCUGCACAGGGGAUGCGCCAAGGACAGUUUCCUACGACAAGUGGAAAUCUGUGUGCUGCAGGCGAGCUGGGUCCUGGAAAGUGCAGGGACCAGCCAGCAUCUUGGGACAUCAAGGGCUGUCUCCAGCCAGCAGAUUUCCCAUAAAAAGGUGCUGAACUGGGGACAAAGCUGAUUCUACAGAGCUGAGAAUCCAGACCUUCCCUGGGGACUCCCAAGGGGGCCCUGGCCACCCUCUCCACCUGCAGAGGUUUCCUGGCCCAACAGCUCCUCCUCCGAGGGCCCCCUUCCAGCUCUCGGCCCAUGGGGGAGCCAGUUCCUCAGCUCUGGGCUUGGUGGACAGGAGACCUAGGGCUCCCCGCACCGAGCUGGGCUCAGUGUUUUCUUUUUUUGUUGUUGUUG